AGGACGAACGCUGGCGGCACGCUUAACACAUGCAAGUCGAACGGAGCUAAGAAGGAGCUUGCUUCAUCUUAGCUUAGUGGCGGACGGGUGAGUAACACGUGAGCAACCUGCCUUUAAGAGUGGAAUAGCUUCUGGAAACGGAUGGUAAUACCGCAUAACAUUACGGGACCGCAUGAUUCUGUAAUCAAAGAUUUAUCGCUUAAAGAUGGGCUCGCGUCUGAUUAGAUAGUUGGUGGGGUAACGGCCUACCAAGUCGACGAUCAGUAGCCGGACUGAGAGGUUGAACGGCCACAUUGGGACUGAGACACGGCCCAGACUCCUACGGGAGGCAGCAGUGGGGAAUAUUGCACAAUGGGCGGAAGCCCUGAUGCAGCGAUGCCGCGUGGAGGAAGAAGGUUUUCGGAUUGUAAACUCCUUUUAUCAGGGACGAUAAUGACGGUACCUGAAGAAAAAGCUCCGGCUAACUACGUGCCAGCCGCGGC
rnacentral:rRNA from 1 species